AGCGAACGCUGGCGGCAGGCUUAACACAUGCAAGUCGAGCGGCCGUAGCAAUACGGAAGCGGCAGACGGGAGAGUAACACGUGGGAACGUGCCCUUUAGUUCGGAAUAGGCCAGGGAAACUUGGGUUAAUACCGGAUAAGCCCUAACGGGGAAAGAUUUAUCGCUAAAGGAUCGGCCCACGUCUGAUUAGCUAGUUGGUGAGGUAAUGGCUCACCAAGGCGACGAUCAGUAGCUGGUCUGAGAGGAUGACCAGCCUCACUGGGACUGAGACACGGCCCAGACUCCUACGGGAGGCAGCAGUGGGGAAUAUUGGACAAUGGGCGCAAGCCUGAUCCAGCCAUGCCGCGUGGGUGAUGAAGGCCCUAGGGUUGUAAAGCCCUUUCGGCGGGGAAGAUAAUGACGGUACCCGCAGAAGAAGCCCCGGCUAACUUCGUGCCAGCCGCCGCUGUAAC
rnacentral:rRNA from 1 species